CAUUUCAAGAUCCUUCUGCCUCUGAGGUGAUGUUAGCAAGUGAAGAGACUAUGCUGAGAUCUUUAAAGGCAAACAGGUGUGAUUUCUCUAUAUAAUCUCACCGGGGAAAGAAACCUAGAAAAGAAGAGAGUGGAAGAAAUGGUUGCUUUUCAGUGUGUGGACUUUCAUUGGACACACCCAUCAUGGAAGACAGGAUGAUACCAAAUACCUAGGGAGCUUUGUUUUCACAAGAAAGUUGAAGCCGACUCACCAAAUUGUGAAGUGAUGACUGCAUUUCUGCCUGGAGUUGAGGUCACAGAAUCACAAACCCAAAGUCUCCAAAAGUGCUGAAAGCAGAAAACUGCCAAGAAUACUCUACCUGGCACAGUUGUCCUUCAAAGUGGAGAGAAGUUUCCCAGGCAGGUGUAGGCUGAAGGAGUUGACUGGCCUUCUUCUUCAAGCUGGCAACUUCUUCAAGCUGAAAUGAAAGGACAUGUAAUUCGAUUUAUACUUUGACAUGUUUUCCUGUUACCAACUAGUAAAUUGUUGGUUAAAUUCAGAAUAUUCUCAUGUGUUGGUGGUGGGUAAAUCACCUAACUCUAGCAUGGAAAUUACAAGUAUUAAAAAUAAUUAUAACAAAUAAUUUGUUAAUGGAUAUGCAAGGUAAAAAUAUGUAAAUUGUGAUAUCAAAACCAAAACAUGAGUGGGGAAAGUAAAAAAUAGAAAGUUUUCUCAGCUUAUGAAUCUUCAUGGUAACCACAAAGAAAAACUUGCAGUAGAUCUAUGUAUGCCAGACAGCAAGUCAUAAAGGGACAAAAUAAUGAACAAAAUGGCAGUAGUAGUAAGCACACACCUAUUAAUAAUUACAUUGAAUGUAAAUGGACUGAAUUCUCCCAUCAAAAGACAGAGUGGCUAAAUGGGUAUAAAUACAAGACCCAAGUAUACAUUACCUAUAAGAGACUGACUUCA